UACGUAGGUGACAAGCGUUGUCCGGAUUUACUGGGCGUAAAGAGCGCGCAGGCGGUCGAUCAAGUCGAGUGUGAAAGCCCCCGGCUCAACUGGGGAGGGUCAUUCGAUACUGAUCGACUCGAAGGCAGGAGAGGGAAGUGGAAUUCCCGGUGUAGCGGUGAAAUGCGUAGAGAUCGGGAGGAACACCAGUGGCGAAGGCGGCUACCUGGACCAGCACUGACACUGAGGCACGAAAGCGUGGGGAGCAAACAGG
rnacentral:rRNA from 1 species